AACGAACGCUGGCGGCGGGCUUAACACAUGCAAGUCGAGCGCCCCGCAAGGGGAGCGGCAGACGGGUGAGUAACGCGUGGGAAUCUACCCAUCUCUACGGAAUAACGCAUGGAAACGUGUGCUAAUACCGUAUACGUCCUUCGGGAGAAAGAUUUAUCGGAGAUGGAUGAGCCCGCGUUGGAUUAGCUAGUUGGUGGGGUAAAGGCCUACCAAGGCGACGAUCCAUAGCUGGUCUGAGAGGAUGAUCAGCCACACUGGGACGGAGACACGGCCCAGGCUCCUACGGGGGGCAGCAGUGGGGAAUAUUGGACAAUGGGCGCAAGCAUGAUCCAGCCAUGCCGCGUAAGUGAUGAAGGCCCUAGGGUUGUAAAGCUCUUUCACCGGUGAAGAUAAUGACGGUAACCGGAGAAGAAGCCCCGGCUAACUUCGUGCCAGCCGCCGCCGUAACAC
rnacentral:rRNA from 1 species